rnacentral:rRNA from 1 species
UACGUAGGUGGCAAGCGUUGUCCGGAUUUAUUGGGCGUAAAGAGCGCGCAGGCGGUUUGUUAAGUCCGAGGUGAAAUCUCCCGGCUCAACUGGGAGGGGUCUUCGGAUACUGGCAGGCUUGAGGAGAGCAGAGGUGAGUGGAAUUCUCGGUGUAGUGGUGAAAUGCGUAGAUAUCGAGAGGAACACCAGCGGCGAAGGCGGCUCACUGGGCUCCACCUGACGCUGAGGCGCGAAAGCGUGGGGAGCGAACCGG